CACCGAUGGAUGCGCGCCCCGCACCGCCCCCCCCCGCAUCUCCGGGGAUAACGGGUGGGGGGAGCACCGGGUCCGGGGCUGCGAAGCCACCCAACACAGCGCGAAGCACAGAGCCGCUGCCGCCCCCACCCCUCAUUUCUGGCGUUUGUAGAUCUUCUGUGCCAGGCCGAGGAAGAUCUCCUUCGGGAGGCGGUUCGAGUGCUUCUCUAUCAGUUCCUGCAGGCGCCGGUAGCUGCUCUCCUCGUACUGCUGGAACGCAGCCCUCAUCCCCACGGCCUCAUACAGCUCCUUCACCUUCGCCACCUUCUCGGGCUCCUUACGGCCGUAGUUGUCCUCCAGGAGCUGCCGCUGCUCCGGCGUGACGCGCUGCAGGCACUGCACCACGAGCCAGCUGCAUUUAUUGUCCUGGAUGUCGGUGCCCACCUUCCCC
rnacentral:lncRNA from 1 species